rnacentral:lncRNA from 1 species
AACGAAGGACACCACGAAGACAUCAGGACACACCAGGAUCAGACACAGAUAUGGUGUGACUAUAAGCCUAUCAGGCUAGGAGAAAGCAGUGAGAAUAAGAACACCCAAUCUUCCUUCUGUGAUGGGGUAUACAAACCCCGCACAGGACAACAAAGGGUCGAGGACUGCACUGGGCUCAGCCAGUUCGGACCCACCACACCUGUAAGGCAUGCACAGGCUGGAAGAGAGGCUUUAGAAGGGAGCAGAACAGGUCCCUUUGGGCAGACUAGGGAAGAGAACAAACCUUCAACUCUAAGCUUCUGAGGAAAGGGCUGACUGAAGGCAGGAACUUCCUAGACAACCACUGCCUGAAGGCCCCUCCCUGUGGGGAGAGAGGAUCAGAUUCUGAUACACACUGAGAGGAAGUCAUUCUCCUCUAUCUCUUACUAACUCCAUUUAUUUGUGUUAAUUCCCCUUGGUUUUUGUUUAUGGACUACCCUGGAAGGGGAGAGACUUUGAAGUGACCAGGCCAGAGACCAAGUCACAGGAAGAGACAGAGCAGCCAAUGGCAGUAGACCCCAGCAGAGAGAGUGCUGCUACGCCAUGCCCAGCCAUGAGGAGGUGCCAGCGAUGAGUCGACUCCUUCACACAUUCUCUUAUGUUAGAAAAAUGUGGACACAUCAGGCCAAAUUUUGAGCUGUGGCUUCUAAUUUUUCAAUUGCAAAAAUGCAUACACCCAUUUCCAGCAUCCCAAUUAGCACUUACAAAAACCCAUUUGUGUGCAUAAAUGUGGGUUUAGCUCACACAUAUAAUGAAAUAAUAAUACUUUGCAUUUAUUUAGUAUCUUUAAUCUGAGGCUCACAACAAUGCUGUAAGUUAGGUACGGUCUGGAGAAUGCCGGUCAGAAAAGUUAAUAAUUUGCCCAAGGACAUACGAAUCAGUGGCAGGACUGGGAAUAUAACCUAGGGUUCCUGACUCCCAGUUCUCUUCUUUAACCCCAAAUCACUACUGCUUCCAUACAGAGUCAUCUGCAAAAUUGCAUAUGCAAAUUUAGAUGCCACUUUGGGUAUGUUUACACAGCAAUAUAAGCCUAGGGUUAGUGGGACUUGAGUCAAUUGAGCCAUAUCAGGAAACCCUGGGCUUGAGUGUCUACAUUGGAUUUUAACCCUAGGUUAAGGAUUUUCUGAC